UGGGGAAUAUUGCACAAUGGGGGAAACCCUGAUGCAGCGACGCCGCGUGAAGGAUGAAGUAUUUCGGUAUGUAAACUUCUAUCAGCAGGGAAGAAAAUGACGGUACCUGACUAAGAAGCCCCGGCUAACUACGUGCCAGCAGCCGCGGUAAUACGUAGGGGGCAAGCGUUAUCCGGAUUUACUGGGUGUAAAGGGAGCGUAGACGGCUGUGCAAGUCUGGAGUGAAAACCCGGGGCUCAACCCCGGGAUUGCUUUUGAAACUGUGUAGCUGGAGUACCGGAGAGGCAAGUGGAAUUCCUAGUGUAGCGGUGAAAUGCGUAGAUAUUAGGGGGAAAACCAGUGGCGAAGGCGGCUUGCUGGACGGUAACUGACGUUGAGGCUCGAAAGCGUGGGGAGCAAACAGG
rnacentral:rRNA from 1 species